AACGAACGCUGGCGGCAUGCCUAACACAUGCAAGUCGAACGAGACCUUCGGGUCUAGUGGCGCACGGGGGCGUAACGCGUGGGAACCUGCCCUUAGGUUCGGAAUAACUCCCCGAAAGGGGUGCUAAUACCGGAUAAUGUCUUCGGACCAAAGAUUUAUCGCCUUGGGAUGGGCCCGCGUUGGAUUAGCUAGUUGGUAGGGUAAAAGCCUACCAAGGCGACGAUCCAUAGCUGGUCUGGGAGGAUGAUCAGCCACACUGGGACUGAGACCCGGCCCAGACUCCUACGGGAGGCAGCAGUGGGGAAUAUUGGACAAUGGGCGAAAGCCUGAUACAGCAAUGCCGCGUGAGUGAGGAAGGCCUUAGGGUUGUAAAGCUCUUUUACCCGGGAUGAUAAUGACAGUACCGGGAGAAUAAGCACCGGCUAACUCCGUG
rnacentral:rRNA from 1 species